UUAAAUGGAAUAAUUGAAUAAUGCUGCAGUGGCCUGUAGAGACAAGACUUUUUUUUUUCCUUUUUUUAUGUUUGAUAAAUGUUUUUUGUGUACUCACUAUACAGCGAUGUGUUGCUUUUGGGUUUUAAUGCUAAAUGGUAGAGCUACAUAUUUUAUUUCCCUCUUAAUUUAUUUGAGAAAUGUUAAUGUCAGACUUUGUCACAACUGAAUUAAUUUACACAGAAUCUGUGUUUAUUUUGGCAACAACUCAACCUCAAAACUGUCCUCAGUGUUUUCAUGUUUAGGGUGGAGAAUUAAGAAUGAAAUAAGAUAUAGAUCUCCUUGCAGAAAAGACUUAGGGUAUGGCAUCAUUAUGCAAACUUUUGUUUCUUUUUUCCUCUAAUCUUUUGAUUUAUAUUCUAGUUUACAGAGGGAAGAAUUCAUCUUAUUCUUGGUGGUUUUGUUAUAUCGGGGCUUCUCUGAAUACAAAGCGAUACAAAGUUAACAGUUGGAAAUGCUGUCAGUGGUGAACUAAGAGGACGGAAAGGAUGAUUGCCCCGGUAUCAGGCGCGGGUCAGAAAAAUCCCACUCUUACCCUGCUACCUGUGUUCUUAUUUUCCAAGUUGAAUGCUGUUGUUCAUUAGCUUUACAGGAAGGAGUUUUAAAAAUUUUACCGUGGAGGUGUGUAUCCUUCGUAUGUGCAUUAUUUUUCAGCGACAUAUGUCCUGUAUGCGAAAAAGAAUAGAAAAAA